GCACUCACUUGGAUUUUUCAAACGUGUAUUAACAGUCUUAACACAAAUCUACAUCAACGUUUCGAACCUUCAUCUUGAUAAAGACCCUGAAGGGUCGAAACGUUGAUGUAGAUUUGUGUUAAGACUGUUAAUACAUGUUUGAAAAAUCCACGUGAGUGC